UGCACCAACAUCGCAGUCGACGGGCGUUGGCGGGCGACGGUCUUAGGCCUUAGCUUAGGUAUUUGAUCGUUUUGAUGUUUACAUUAUAUACAGCACACAAGUACACAACAGCCGUCGUCGCCGCUGCAGUCACCGACACCACCCACUUCCCCCACCCGGUUGUCCGGAUGAGAUCAUCGUGACGGUAAUAACUUAUUAUUCCGCUGUCGAUUCAACAGUUGUGUUCGGACGCAGAGUAAACGAAAUCAUCAAACACCGGUGUCCGACGUUCACAAAACAAUAUUGAAUAAUUAUUUUAUCGUUUCGAAUUAUUUCGUCCGGUACUAUACGCAGUGCCUUCUCGAAGACGAGAAAAUCAAAUCCAUCAAAUUUUGUCGUGUUAUAGUAGUGAUAGUGCAUGCCCAACAUACAUCUACGAUCUACCUACUGCAGCAACGAUUAUCAUAUUAUCAUCUUAAACGGGUGCCACUGUGCUAUUUUGUCUUAUUUUUGG